rnacentral:rRNA from 1 species
UACAGAGGAGCCAAGCGUUGUCCGGAUUGACUGGGCGUAAAGCGCACGCAGGCGGUCGCGCGCGUGGGGUGUGAAAUCUGGCCGCUUAACGGCCAGGCGCCAUCCCAUACGGCGCGACUGGAGGCUUGCAGAGGUCGGUGGAAUUGCCGGUGUAGUGGUGAAAUGCGUAGAUAUCGGGAGGAACACCUGUGGCGAAAGCGGCUCACUGGACCACAACUGACGCUGAUGCGCGAAAGCUAGGGGGAGCAAACAGG